rnacentral:rRNA from 1 species
AGUGAACGCUGGCGGUAGGCCUAACACAUGCAAGUCGAACGGCAGCACAGUAAGAGCUUGCUCUUACGGGUGGCGAGUGGCGGACGGGUGAGGAAUACAUCGGACUCUACUUUUUCGUGGGGGAUAACGUAGGGAAACUUACGCUACUACCGCAUACGACCUACGGGUGAAAGCAGGGGAUCUUCGGACCUUGCGCGAUUGAAUGAGCCGAUGUCGGAUUAGCUAGUUGGCGGGGUAAAGGCCCACCAAGGCGACGAUCCGUAGCUGGUCUGAGAGGAUGAUCAGCCACACUGGAACUGAGACACGGUCCAGACUCCUACGGGAGGCAGCAGUGGGGAAUAUUGGACAAUGGGCGCAAGCCUGAUCCAGCCAUACCGCGUGGGUGAAGAAGGCCUUCGGGUUGUAAAGCCCUUUUGUUGGGAAAGAAAAGCAGCAGGUUAAUACCCCGCGGUUCUGACGGUACCCAAAGAAUAAGCACCGGCUAACUUCGUG